rnacentral:rRNA from 1 species
AAUGGAAAGUCCGGCCAUAGAGGGUGAUAGCCCCUUAUACGAAAUCCCGUGUGUGGAACUAGGGUAACAACAAGUAGGGCGGGGCACGAGAAACCUUGUCUGAACAUGGGGGGACCAUCCUCCAAGGCUAAAUACUCGUAGUCGACCGAUAGUGAACCAGUACGUGAGGGAAAGGCGAAUAGAACCCCGGGAGGGGAGUGAAAUAGAUCCUGAAACCGCAUGCAUACAAACAGUGGGAGCGGACUUGUUCCGUGACUGCGUACCUUUUGUAUAAUGGGUCAGCGACUUACAUUCAGUAGCAAGCUUAACCGAUAGGGGAGGCGUAGCGAAAGCGAGUCUGAUAAGGGCGAUUAGUUGCUGGGUGUAGACCCGAAACCGGAUGAUCUAUCCAUGGCCAGGAUGAAGGUGCGGUAACACGCACUGGAGGUCCGAACCCACAAAUGUUGAAAAAUUUGGGGAUGAGCUGUGGAUAGGGGUGAAAGGCUAAACAAAUCCGGAAAUAGCUGGUUCUCUCCGAAAACUAUUUAGGUAGUGCGUCACAUAUAACCCUCGGGGGUAAAGCACUGUUAUGGCUAGGGGCCUAUUGCUGGUUACCAACCCAUGGCAAACUCAGAAUACCGAGGAGUUCGAGUGUGGCAGACAGACAGCGGGUGCUAACGUCCGUUGUCAAGAGGGAAACAACCCAGACCGCCGUCUAAGGUCCCCAAAUAUAGUUAAGUGGAAAACGAGGUGGGAAGGCAUAGACAGCCAGGAGGUUGGCUUAGAAGCAGCCACCCUUUAAAGAAAGCGUAAUAGCUCACUGGUCGAGUCGUCCUGCGCGGAAGAUGUAACGGGGCUCAAACUAUAUACCGAAGACGCGGAUAUGUGCUUGCACAUAUGGUAGGAGAGCGUUCUGUAGGCCUGCGAAGGUGUCUCGUGAGGGAUGCUGGAGGUAUCAGAAGUGCGAAUGCUGACAUGAGUAGCGAUAAAGGGAGUGAAAAGCUCCCUCGCCGAAAGCCCAAGGUUUCCUGCGCAACGUUCAUCGGCGCAGGGUGAGUCGGCCCCUAAGGUGAGGCAGA